UUUUGUACAGUGGGGGUCGGGGGUGUGCCAAGAUGGCGCGCCGUUUGCAUUCAUCAGUGCCGAGUGAAAUCGACACGCACAGUUCGGGCGAUACGGGUACUUGUUUAAGCGCGGAACGGCCGCCAGUCUGCGUGCAAUCAAACUCAACCGCGUCUACCUCUCUAGUCGUAGUUGGUGCCAAGCAAGUCUUUCCAGUGCCUUACUCGCACGACCCCGCGGCGCCAGGGGUCGGGUCGACGUCAGCGUGGCGACAGCUUUAGCGUGAGUGUGUUCAACCGUGUGGAGAUUCAACUUAAUGUGCAAGCUUUGCCAGCCAGAUAGAAGCGGCAUCCUGGCGCCGGGCAGUUGCGGCACGAGCGACGUCACGUCGCUGGGUCCGAGCUCGCCGCUCUCACCGCGCUCGGCCGGCUCGGAGGCCAGCGACGCCGGCUUCGCCGACGACUCGGCCAUGCCGCCCAGCCA